CCAAGGAGUCUAACAUGUGCGCGAGUCGUCGGGUCUUGAAUAGGCCCGCAGGCGCAAUGAAAGUGAAGGGCGACCGAGUUGUCGUCUGCGUUGGGAUCCCUGGACCGUCGUGUCUGGGGCGCACCAACGGCCCGUCCCGUCCGCAGCGUCGGUGGGACGGAGCGAGAGCGUACACGUUGGGACCCGAAAGAUGGUGAACUAUGCCUGGGCAGGACGAGGCCAGAGGAAACUCUGGUGGAGGUCCGCAGCGAUUCUGACGUGCAAAUCGAUCGUCAGACCUGGGUAUAGGGGCGAAAGACUAAUCGAACCGUCUAGUAGCUGGUUCCCUCCGAAGUUUCCCUCAGGAUAGCUGGCGCUCGAGGGAGUCAGUCUCAUCCGGUAAAGCGAAUGAUUAGAGGCCUUGGGGCCGAAACGACCUCAACCUAUUCUCAAACUUUCAAUGGGUGAGAAGUCCGGUUUACAUGACUGAAGCCCGGACAAGACAGAGAGGAUGCGAGUGCCCAGUGGGCCACUUUU
rnacentral:rRNA from 1 species